rnacentral:piRNA from 1 species
UAGUAGCGGUAGUUUCGGAUUUGAGAGU